UACGAAGGGGGCUAGCGUUGCUCGGAAUUACUGGGCGUAAAGCGCACGUAGGCGGCUUGUUAAGUCAGGGGUGAAAUCCUGGAGCUCAACUCCAGAACUGCCUUUGAUACUGGCGAGCUUGAGUUCGGGAGAGGUGAGUGGAACUGCGAGUGUAGAGGUGAAAUUCGUAGAUAUUCGCAAGAACACCAGUGGCGAAGGCGGCUCACUGGCCCGAUACUGAUGCUGAGGUGCGAAAGCGUGGGGAGCAAACAGG
rnacentral:rRNA from 1 species